rnacentral:rRNA from 1 species
AGUGAACGCUGGCGGUAGGCCUAACACAUGCAAGUCGAACGGCAGCACAGUAAGAGCUUGCUCUUACGGGUGGCGAGUGGCGGACGGGUGAGGAAUACAUCGGAAUCUACUUUUUCGUGGGGGAUAACGUAGGGAAACUUACGCUAAUACCGCAUACGACCUACGGGUGAAAGCAGGGGAUCUUCGGACCUUUCGCGAUUGAAUGAGCCGAUGUCGGAUUAGCUAGUUGGCGGGGUAAAGGCCCACCAAGGCGACGAUCCGUAGCUGGUCUGAGAGGAUGAUCAGCCACACUGGAACUGAGACACGGUCCAGACUCCUACGGGAGGCAGCAGUGGGGAAUAUUGGACAAUGGGCGCAAGCCUGAUCCAGCCAUACCGCGUGGGUGAAGAAGGCCUUCGGGUUGUAAAGCCCUUUUGUUGGGAAAGAAAAGCAGCAGGUUAAUACCCCGCUGUUCUGACGGUACCCAAGGAAUAAGCACCGGCUAACUUCGUG